rnacentral:rRNA from 1 species
UACGUAGGGGGCAAGCGUUGUCCGGAUUCAUUGGGCGUAAAGAGCGUGUAGGCGGCCAGGUAGGUCGGCUGUGGAAACUGGAGGCUCAACCUUCAGAGGUCGACCGAAACCAUCUGGCUAGAGUCCGGGAGAGGAGAGUGGAAUUCCUGGUGUAGCGGUGAAAUGCGCAGAUAUCAGGAAGAACACCCGUGGCGAAAGCGGCUCUCUGGAACGGUACUGACGCUGAGACGCGAAAGCGUGGGGAGCGAACAGG